rnacentral:tRNA from 1 species
ACUCGGUGGUUCAGUGGUAGAGUGCUCGCCUGCCACGCGGGCGGCCCGGGUUCGACUCCCGGCCGACGCA